AGAAUCAACGCUGGCGGCGUGCCUAACACAUGCAAGUCGAACGAGAAAGUGGAGCAAUCCAUAAGUAAAGUGGCGCACGGGUGAGUAACACGUGACUAACCUACCCUGGAGUGGGGAAUAACUGAGGGAAACCUUAGCUAAUACCGCAUAACACCUACGGGUCAAAGGAGCAAUUCGCUUUGGGAGGGGUCGCGGCAGAUUAGCUAGUUGGCGGGGUAAUGGCCCACCAAGGCGAUGAUCUGUA
rnacentral:rRNA from 1 species